rnacentral:tmRNA from 1 species
GGGGCUGACUUGGAUUUCGACAGAUUUCUUGUCGCACAGAUAGCAUGCCAAGUGCUGCUUGUAAAACAGCAACAAAAAUAACUGUAAACAACGCAGAUUACGCUCCAGCUUACGCUAAAGUUGCGUGAGUUAAUCUCCUUUUGGAGCUGGACUGAUUAGAAUUUCUAGCGUUUUAAUCACUCCAUAACCUUAAGCUAGACGCUUUUAAAAGGUGGUUCGCCUUUUAAACUAAGAACAAGAACUCUUGAAACUACCUCAAGGUUUUAGAAAGUUGGACCAGAGCUAGUUUUAAGGCUAAAAAACUAACCAAUUUUCUAAGCAUUGUAGAAGUUUGUGUUUAGGACAAGAUUUUUGGACUGGGGUUCGAUUCCCCACAGCUCCACCA